GACCAGCAUUUCAACCUUGGUAGCUUACCUGUAAAGCUGCUUGUUUGAAAUGUGAUAGACUCUGUCUUCAUCCAUGAUUGAUUUACCUUGAACAAGUUAGCACCAUUGUAUUUUUUUUCCUUUUUUCUUUUGGCACUUUUUUGUUUGUUUGUUGUGCACAUAAUCUAAUCAUUUCAAUAGAAACAACCUGUGAGUAUAGAAUUUAUAGUUCAUGUGGGUACUUGGAAACAUUCUUCUUUUAUCAGUGUGCAUAGUCAUCGAUUUACACUUAGGCUGGUCAUAAUUUAGCUCUAUCUUGAGCUGACAACACUACACUCUUGAAGAAUGUUAUUUUUUUUAUUAUGAGACUGUUCUAUUUUCAUUAUGUAUUUAGGGGCAACACAACCUGAGCUUCAGUUGUAAUUUGUUUAGUUCUAAACCUUUUCCAUUCAUAUUUAGUCUUGUUUAAUCAUCUCUUUGCAGUUACAUGGAAGAAAUAAGAGUUCAUGUGCUAUCAAUUUAAUUUAGUGGAUAAGAUUUCAUGUUUAACUGGCUACCGCAAGGUGGGGCUGGUGGUUUAAGUUUUCUGCUUUGUGUGAGAGACUAUACUAAGCAAAGCAACUGCUGAUGUUGACAAAGGGGUCCAUGAUGAGACUGGUUUCUUUUAGGUGGUUCUGUUUUUUGAAAAUAUGGGCUUGGAUAAAGAAACUGUUGGGAGAAUUAUUUUUCGCUGCCAGCAUUGAUAAAACUCUUUAGAGGAAGAUUGAAUUCCUUUCUAGGGUUGGCGUUUUUUAAGCUUAUUUUCCUGGGAUAAUUAGAAAAUAUCCGGAAUUACUUGUAAC